rnacentral:lncRNA from 1 species
UAUUAUACCGGAGGAGUCUUACCCAACGCAAUGACCAAAAGAGGGGGGCUGAACCAACGUGUUGGAAAAGCGGAAAAGCUUUUGCUCUCAUAACGUGCUGAGACUGUUCGAAGUUAAAUCUCACCCAAGAUCUUAAUAGGAGAAAUUGAGUGCAAAGGGAGAUGAUAAGAAGUUGAUACUUCGCGGAGGAGAUCCUGUUCUAGAGAUUAGUCUUGGACGAGGAACAGCCUUCCGAUCACUAUUUGGCAGGUUGAAAGAAAAGUGCUGAUUUAUCACCCUCAGUAGAAUAGCUUAGCAAAUAUUGCAUAUCCUCAUAACCAAGAACCCUAAUUCAUCAAUUGAAUAAUAUUUAUUGUUUCUAUAUCUAUCUUCCUCGCUUGUUUGUGGUAAAUCUCCUUGUGAGGUGUUGAAGGAAUAAAAGAAGUGAACAAGGCUCCAUGGUCAACUCCGUGGACUAAGAAGAUCCAUGACGUCUUCAACUCUUAUCUGAAUUUAGUUGAUCUAUGUUGUAUUAGAAUAAACUCCUAUAUCAUUUUAUAUACUUUUGUGCUCAGCCUCUAAGGGAGCGAGAGCAUUGGCAAAACAUAGUGCAAUCAUUUAUCAUUUUCACUCUGAAAUUCAGUUUAUAUCAGCUGACCUAUUUUCUCAAGUGGCAUAGAACAUGAUUUAUCCUCUCUAACGAGGAAUACGAAUAGAGUGACAGAAGUAUGGAUUAGAAACCGUCGAUUAGAAGAAUGCACACUAGGAUAAACUUUUCUUAAAAUUGUAAUCAAAAUUCAAGGUAUUUUCCACCUAUAGUAUGGAAUAGGGGAUCCCUGUUAUGGAAAUUGUAUGAAAAUUGAGUGUUUAUUGAUCUGUUCCUCCAUUAUACUUUUCGUCAUUCAAAAUUACUUAUUUUUGAUAAGUACUCACUGUUGUUGAGCUACAGAGUCAUUUCUAUUUGUUUAUCUUCCUUAUAGAUCUAAUUUCUUGAUUAUCCAUAUUACAGAUUGAAGAUAUGAACCUCGUACUUCAUUCUUUAACACAUGUCUGAAAUUAUUUCCUCCUUUACUAAACUUAUUUAACUUUCUCUGCUUAAAGAGUGGCAUCGCUAGCCCCAAAAGUUUCUUCGGCACCCCCAAAAUUUUAUCAUAUAUAAAAUAAAACAAUUUAUAUAAGUAUUGUAUUAAGGUGUUGAUAAUUUGUGCGGCGAAGUCCCCCAAAGGAUGAAAGCUAGGAACGCUCCUAAACUUAGGAUUUUGUGUUUGAUGCAAUGUAUUGGGGAAAAUGAAUACUUAAGACUCUUCUUGAAUUUUUUUAUGACUCGAGAGUAAUUAUACAUAGAUUUUUCAGAACAUAUUCCAAACACAGAAUGUGCUUUUCUUAAGCUUGAUCUUAAAAAAAAAGUUUAGUAUGGUAUUGAAGGGAUGAAAGAAGCGAACAAGACUCGAUGGUCAACUCCGUAGACUAAGAAGAUCCCUGACGUCUUCAACUCUUACCUUAAUUUAGUUGAUCUAUGGUGCAUUAGAAUAAACUCCUAUAUUAUUUUAUAUACUUCGUGUGCACCACCUCUAAGGGAUGUUACGUUCAUAGAUGAUACCCCGUACUUCAUUCUUUAACACUUGCCUUAUAUUAUCUCCUCCAACACUAAACUCCUUUAACUUUAUCUUCAGUCAACUGUAUCAUUUAGUUUUUUCAUCUCGAUUAUUGACUUCGGAUUUGGUGCUUGAUAUAAUAUGGUCGGAAAAUUAAUGCAUUGUACUCUUGUUGAAUUUGUUUAUAACUCAAGAAUACUUAUACACAGACUCGUCAAAACCAUAUUCUAAUACGGAACAAACUUCUUAAGCUUGUUCUCUAAACAACUCUUCGAGUGUGAUUCGUCUAUAUAGAUUUUUCCUUCUUAAAGGAUUAGC